AUUGAACGCUGGCGGCAGGCCUAACACAUGCAAGUCGAGCGAGCGGCGGACGGGUGAGUAAUGUCUGGGAAACUGCCUGAUGGCGGGGGAUAACUACUGGAAACGGUAGCUAAUACCGCAUACCAUCAGAUGUGCCCAGAUGGGAUUAGCUAGUAGGGGGGGUAACGGCUCACCUAGGCGACGAUCCCUAGCUGGUCUGAGAGGAUGACCAGCCAAACUGGAACUGAGGUACGGUCCAGACGCCUCAGGGAGGCAGCAGUGGGGAAUGUUGGACAAUGGGCGCAAGCCGGAAGAAGCCAGGCCGCGUGUGUGAAGAAGGCCUUCGGGUUGUAAAGCACUUUCAGCGGGGAGGCGUUACCCGCAGAAGAAGCACCGGCUAACUCCGUGCCAGCCGCCGCGGUAAUAC
rnacentral:rRNA from 1 species